GGCAUGAAUACCAGGAAGAAGUCAGCCAGAUGGCUGGGGGCCAUCUUGGAAGACUGCCACAACAUGGUGAGAAAGAGUUGAAGACCAAAGGAGACAUGGAGAAGAAGGCCAUUUGAAGAUGGAGGCAGAGACUGGAGUGAUGCAAAUUUGCAGCUGCAAAUCAAAGGAACACCAAAGAUUGCUGGCAACUACAACAGGGACUCGGGAUUUGAACAGGAAGGCAC